rnacentral:lncRNA from 1 species
AGCGAGCGCUCGGGCUCCGCUGACCAGAAAAGCGAUAGCUGUGCAAACCUGGGGACGUCUGGAGGGACUGCUUAUGUCGAAAGCAUCUCCUGGCGCUGCAAAAAGUGGGACAGUCUUCCUUUUCCCGUUAGGUUUUUACUGUGAAUGGAUUUUGAAGACAAAAGCUGUGGACACAUUGAAGAUGCCACUGUGUUAACCAUGGUGUUAAAGCAGAAAAGUGCAUCUUGCCUGUAUCAGCACAAGUGAUUGGAUUUGGGCUAUUCAGGACCUUGUAUGAGCAGAGCUGCAGGUCUUUUCCAACCCACAUUGUUCUGUGAUUUUACUUCUCCUCUCCAUCACUCUGCUGUCCUUUCCUUCUCUACCAGCAGUGACACACCUAUUUCUGUAGGUAUCCACAGUUCCAAACCAGUCUCUGGACCUCAGGUAACUCUCAGGAAGUGUGGUCCUCAUGAAGAUGUUUUUUCAUGCCUAUCAUGCCUCCAGGCUGCAGUCUUGCUGGCGUGGAACCAGGAGAGAUAGCACACUUUGUUUCCUGCUAGUUCUGCUCAGCCUUGGGUGCUUACACCCUCUCCUCUUCAGCAUUGCUCAGGGCCUGGCAAUGAAGCCUUUCUGGGGCAAUAACUCUCCUGGUGCACAAUCAGUGCAGUUUAAGACAUAAAGGUGUAAAGUGAAGCCCGUGACAGCUUGAGGGAUUGUGUGGGCCUUUAUCAGCCAGAACCUCUCUGAGCGCAAACACAAAAAUGUUGUUGACAGACAACUUUCAUAAAUUGCUUUGUUGAGUGUCAGCUUCGCUUUAUAGCACAUUGUCACAUGCCAGUGCUGACACUUAUGGCAGAACUUGCUGGCACAGUAUGGCAUGCUUGGAUGUAGCUUUUUCUGCAUUUUCUUCAUAGAAAAAUCCUUAUGGUCCAAACUGGAGCCAUUUUAUCAGGUUUUGUCCUUGAUGCAUAGGUGAGAGGGGAUGUUUUGCACAGCACUUACAGCCAGAACCAUGCCAACAUCACAAUUAAAAAUGUGGGGAAGCAAAAUGAAUGCUUUAAAUGUUCUCAUAUUUCUGUGACAUAUUUUCUGCUGCUGGAUUUCUAAUACUCAGAGUGUUUCAUAGCAGCAUCUGUUACUCAGAGAGCAAAGGUUUGCUGCAGCCUUACCAGAGUUAACAGUAGCUAUGGGCCAGGUUAGAUGACAAUAUGCUUUUUUAUCAUUUACUAUUUUGUGCUAGGUGUUUGCCCAAAGCCAUGCCAUCAUAGCAAGGAAAUUUGUCCUGCUAGUAUCACAUGCAGCCAGACAAGGGUUGUGGUCACUAUAACGUUAAACUGAGUCACAAAGCUUCCUAAAUGGCUGCUGUAUGUGUGGCUAAAGAAAGGGAAAAAAGAAACAUCACUCAUCAAGACUUUAACACCGAGCAAGAAGAGUGAGAAGCAAUGAAGAGACUGUAGGAACUUCAAAGUAAGCAAAAAAAAAUUCUCAGUGGAUUCCCUUUUACCCUGAAAAUUGGGAAGCAGCAGAUGGAUAAUCAAGA